UCUAAUCUGCUGGAGUUUUAUAUGUGAGCCUAGGAUACAGUUGUAGGAGCAUGAAGGAAAGGCUGAGACUCCCGAGAGAGGACUCUAAGCUGAGAGCCCCAGUUCAACAUCAGCUUCCCUCAUCCCGCAGAUCACGUGUCUGAUCUCCAAGCAGCUUUCUCAGCAGGCUUGGCCUGAGGUGUCCGAACUCUCCCAUCAGUGGUGUAGAAUCCCAGCUGGCACCCAAAUUGAUGCUGCUUGUUUCCUGCUGUCACCGAGAGCUAGAAUGUGAAGGCAGCCAUCCUCUGAGGGCAGCUCAUGUCCUCAGUGUUUUUCCAGGCAGGUGCUCUGCUAAUUCUGUAUUGAAGACACAAACUGAGAAAAUCUAAUCCCAGGACACAACUAUCAAAUUGACUUUUAUCCUUUUCUCUGCUGAAUUUUGAUUUUUGUCAAGCACAAAUAAAAUUUACUGCCAAAAUAUAUAGUAUCUGCAGAAGAGAAUACAAGGGAUAUUCUUUAGUUUUAAAAAUA